CACAGACAGACAGAACAUGGACAGAACUGUAAGGUUAAAAUAUAGAGGGAAGAGAAUAUAAAAGACUAGCACUUGGUGCUAAAGGUUAAUAGGCUGUUUAAGAGGUCAAGAAUGAGGUAUUUACUCUUAUGACACAGAGAAAAUGUCCCUCUCUCAUCUGAGCGAUUGGCCUCAUUUCUUUUCCAGCAGGGUCACUGGGUUUGUUUGCUAUGGAUUGAACAAGUUAUCAUAGUGUAAGCUUUGUUUCUAAUAUAAACGGCAGAAGACAACAUGUGGUGUGGAAAACCAGAGCACAAUUCAAACAUUAUUCCCCUGAAAAACAUCUGUGACUAGAUGAGGACCAGCGAGACGAGAGAAUUCAGGCCACGCUGUGGUUUGCACCAUGUACUUUCUCCAGUCUGA